GAUGAGCCUAUGUCAGAUUAGCUAGUUGGUGGGGUAAUGGCCUACCAAGGCGGUGAUCUGUAGCUGGUCUGAGAGGAUGAUCAGCCACACUGGAACUGAGACACGGUCCAGACUCCUACGGGAGGCAGCAGUGGGGAAUAUUGGACAAUGGGCGCAAGCCUGAUCCAGCUAUGCCGCGUGAGUGAGGAAGGCCUUAGGGUUGUAAAACUCUUUCAGUAGGGAAGA
rnacentral:rRNA from 2 species